AAGUAAACGUGUGUGUGGACGGUGUAUUUGUAUUGAUGGAGCUCAUCCACUUCACAUGGUGCAUAAAACACUUUGCUGUACCGUUUCUUUUUCUAUGACCCUUUCAUCUUGAUCUUGAAAGCAAAGGCUUUAAAGAAUCAAUAAAGAACGAUUUUUGAGUUUUGUCCCAAUGGAAACCAAAAAUUCGGCUCAGGCCGCCAAGGCCAGUCAAGUCGGAAAUGUUUAAACUCUUGAAUCCAAAUUUUUAAACAUCCCUUUCGAGCCCUCUUGUCUCGACGGUCCGAACGGUCCGGUCGACGGAGGGGUGCCCCAAAGUCGAUACCCCCCCCUGUCGGUACCCCCACGUUGUUAUUUUUACAACUUUAACUACAAACUAUGAACAAUAUAUGAACUGUUCAAAGUUCACAGAUUACAGCGUUUCCCCUCUGUAACAGCCGGAAGUGUAGUUAAUUGGAAUUUGGGGAAUAUUAUUCAUUCAAUUUUAGAUGCAUGCUCAUUGAAACUAAAGAUGUAACAUACAUUGAAAAGCAUUUACGUUAGAUUGAUGCUCCUUGUUCGUCUCAAAGUGUUGACGUGCAGCACAGAAGAGCUCCGGUACGGUAGUUACUCGAGAUACCUUUACUGGCAAGACUCAAGUGCAGAUGAUGCUCGGAGGGACCUGGAGCAAAUCACCAUGGCAAUAUUUGUUGUCUUUCGGAAAGAGGGGAAAGGACUGCAGGAGCCACCUGAAGACAUUAGCAUCGUCAUUGAGGGUGUGGAGGUGUUGCAUCAACUGUCAAAAGCUGUCCGUUUCAGCUUGUGCCCUGCUUCUGGGAUUGAUACUCAACCUCUCUUACCCAAAACCACUUCAUUUCACUUUUAAAGUGCUCCAGAAGAUAAUCAUGGAGCUUGAUCAGCAGAAGAUGUCCCCCAAGGUCCAUAAUCUGUAUGGCAGACUUCAAACACAAUAGUGUUUCGAUAUGGGGCAUUUCACUAUUCAGCCCCUUUGGAUGUUGGGCCUUUGUUAGCUCCAAGAUAAAAAUGUUAAGAUACAAUGUUGUUUUAUAUAUAUUAUCACUUGAUUGUAUACAAAUGCUUCUAUCAUACAUAUGAUUUUUGGGGAAAAAGUUCAAUUUCUGUCAGGUGUUCCCAAACAUUGUUACAUAUCAGAAGGCCAAAUGUGACUUGGCAUGGUUAUGCAUUUUGUGCAUAUUUAUGUUAAAAAAAACACUGGAAACAAAUACAAGCAAUACAUUUUGAAAGCCA